AAAUUGAAGAGUUUGAUCAUGGCUCAGAUUGAACGCUGGCGGCAGGCCUAACACAUGCAAGUCGAGCGGAAACGAGUUAACUGAACCUUCGGGGGACGUUAACGGCGUCGAGCGGCGGACGGGUGAGUAAUGCCUAGGAAAUUGCCCUGAUGUGGGGGAUAACCAUUGGAAACGAUGGCUAAUACCGCAUGAUGCCUACGGGCCAAAGAGGGGGACCUUC
rnacentral:rRNA from 1 species